UUAAUCCGGAGUCAUCCCGAGGGAUAUAAAAGCUGCUCCCUGGGGAGGCUCCACACCCGCAGCGGCUCCUCCUGAGCUCCCUCCUCCAGCAGGACGCGCCAGGAUGUCCCAGCAGCAGAAGCAGCCGCAGCAGAUCCCGGCCCAGUGCCAGCAGAAAUGCGGGGGCCUUCCCAAGGGCGUCCAGCAAAGCCAGGCCUGCAAAGGCCAGGCCUGCAAAGGCCAGGCCCAGGCGGCCGUGAAGAGCGUCCCCCAGCAGCAGCAGCAGCAGCAGCAGCAAUGCUCCAAGCAGAAGUAGGAGCCAUCCCAAAUCCCAAAUCCUGCUUUUCCCACCUCGCCGGGCUCCCGGGAACGCCUCCAGACCUGCAGCCACCUGCUUUGCUUGCCAGGAAUUACCUCAUAACGAGAUGCGCUUAAUUAGGUUUAAAAAAAAAUGAUAAAUGAGCGGCGGGGGAUGGUUUUAAUUCGGAGUUUAAUUUGGGAUGUGGUGCAAUAAAAUGAUGGAAUGAA